rnacentral:rRNA from 1 species
UGGGGAAUAUUGGACAAUGGGCGCAAGCCUGAUCCAGCCAUGCCGCGUGAGUGAUGAAGGCCCUAGGGUUGUAAAGCUCUUUCACCGGUGAAGAUAAUGACGGUAACCGGAGAAGAAGCCCCGGCUAACUUCGUGCCAGCAGCCGCGGUAAUACGAAGGGGGCUAGCGUUGUUCGGAUUUACUGGGCGUAAAGCGCACGUAGGCGGACUAUUAAGUCAGGGGUGAAAUCCCGGGGCUCAACCCCGGAACUGCCUUUGAUACUGGUAGUCUUGAGUUCGAGAGAGGUGAGUGGAAUUCCGAGUGUAGAGGUGAAAUUCGUAGAUAUACGGAGGAACACCAGUGGCGAACGCGGCUCACUGGCUCGAUACUGACGCUGAGGUGCGAAAGCGUGGGGAGCAAACAGG